rnacentral:rRNA from 1 species
CCUACGGGAGGCAGCAGUGAGGAAUAUUGGUCAAUGGGCGCGAGCCUGAACCAGCCAAGUCGCGUGAGGGAAGACGGUCCUAUGGAGUGUAAACCGCUGUUGUCGGGGAGCAAAAGACGCCACGCGUGGCGUUCCGAGAGUACCCGAAGAAAAAGCAUCGGCUAACGCCGUGCCAGCAGCCGCGGUAAUACGGAGGAUGCGAGCGUUAUCCGGAUUUAUUGGGGUUAAAGGGGGCGCAGGCGGAAGAUCAAGUCAGCGGUACAAUUGAGAGGCUCAACCUCUUCGAGCCGUUGAAACUGGUUUUCUUGAGUGCGUGAGCCGUAUGCGGAAUGCGUGGUGUAGCGGUGCAAUGCCUAGCUAUCACGCAGAACUCCGAUUGCGACGGCAGCAUCCCGGCGCUCAACUGACGCUCAUGCACGAUAGUGUGGGUAUCGAACAGGAUUAGAUCCCCCAGUAGUC